GUGGUGUAUGGGUGGUGAUAUGUGGUGUUAAUGGAAAUGUGAGUGGUAGUAUGGUGGUGUUAAUGGAAAUGUACGUGGUAGUAUGAUGGUAAUACAUGCAAACUAACAACGGUAUAUCUAUCUCUUUCGUUGAUAUUGAUAUGUAAAACUAUCAAUUCUCAGACCUGUAUAGGUAGUGAUGUGAGUAAUGUUAAAGAAGAUGUAAGUGAUGACAUCUGAUGUGUCAGUAGUGGUGUACAAGUGGUGGUAAGUGGUGGUAUGUGGUGUAUGAGUGGUGUUAAUGGAAAUGUGAGUGGUAGUAUGGUGGUAUUAAUGGAAAUGUGCGUGGUAGUAUGAUGGUGAUACAAUGUACAUGCAAACUAAUAACGGUAGAUCUACCUCUUUCGUUGAUAUUGAUAUGUAAAACUAUCAAUUCUCUAACCUGUAUAGGUAGUGGUGUGAUUGGUGUAAAAACAAAAACAAAAACAAAAAACCGGUGUUAAAACACAUGUGUUAGCAUCCGAUGUGCCAUUAGCUGUGUGUAAAUGGUGUUUAUGGAAAUGUGAAUGGUGGUACGUGGUGUAUAAAUGGUGGUAUGUGGUGUUAAUGAAAAUAAGGGUUGUGGUAUGUGGUGUUAACGAACGUGUAGGUAGAGUGUGUGCGAUGUUAACGAAAGUAUGAAUGGUAGUAGUUGGCUGGUUAUUUCACAAUUUUCACCCUUAUUAUACACCACUUGUGGAUGAAGUACUAUGAUUAAUGGUUAUUACCCCCUAGUAGCGAGGGCUCUUUAGCGUGCAAACGCCUACCGCCAUAGGGCCUUCCGAAAGACCCGUAAAUGCAGUGCAUUUGGAGGGCCAAUCACUACCAAUGUUUACGUCUUAGGUUGGCGAUGGCAUGAGGAGGAUUCGAAUUCAUGAGCUUCCGGUUAGGAAGCAAACGCUCUACCAUUGAGCAAUGCGACCGGUAAUUGCGUGGUGGUGGUGGUGGUGGAAGUAUAUAAAGAACCUAAAAGCCAGGAAUUAUUCGUUUACUUGCAUGACAAUCUGAGCAGUGUUUAUAUACUUCCACCUGAAGUGUGUCACAGUCUGUAUAAUGGAAUGAUAACGUGUUGUAAAGUUCUAACGAGAUACAAAUGGAGUUUAUCAUUUUGGUUCGUGGAUUUAUCAGAAUAAAGAGAAUCUUAUAUUUUCGGAAGCAAUCAACAGUUGUGAUCGAGAAGAGAGAAGGAGAAAAUUUCAAGUGUGAGAUUGUAUUUGAUGAGACUGAUAUGACAAUGGUACCAGAGCCAACUGUCAAACAGCACUCCAGCCAGCAACAUUUUCCUCUUGUAUUUUUUGACUUGGAAUCAACAGGAUUAACUAGAGAUUCUCAUAUUACACAGCUGUCGUGUGUGGUGAAGAAAAAUGUUCCACCUAUACCUUUCCAAAAAUACCUAUCACAGUAAAAGCCUCAGAAAUCACAGGAAUCGAAAUUGUCAAUGGAAAUAUGUUUAACAAAAAUAUAGAAGUCAAGCCUUUCAGCAGGAAUGGAUGCUCUGCUUAAUUUUGUUUCAAAAUUUUAAA